rnacentral:rRNA from 1 species
GACGAACGCUGGCGGCGUGCUUAACACAUGCCAGUCGAACGGAAAGGCCCUGCUUUUGUGGGGUGCUCGAGUGGCGAACGGGUGAGUAACACGUGAGUAACCUGCCCUUGACUUUGGGAUAACUUCAGGAAACUGGGGCUAAUACCGGAUAGGAGCUCCUGCUGCAUGGUGGGGGUUGGAAAGUUUCGGCGGUUGGGGAUGGACUCGCGGCUUAUCAGCUUGUUGGUGGGGUAGUGGCUUACCAAGGCUUUGACGGGUAGCCGGCCUGAGAGGGUGACCGGCCACAUUGGGACUGAGAUACGGCCCAGACUCCUACGGGAGGCAGCAGUGGGGAAUAUUGCACAAUGGGCGGAAGCCUGAUGCAGCAACGCCGCGUGCGGGAUGACGGCCUUCGGGUUGUAAACCGCUUUCGCCUGUGACGAAGCGUGAGUGACGGUAAUGGGUAAAGAAGCACCGGCUAACUACGCG